GAUCCUGGCUCAGGAUGAACGCUAGCGACAGGCCUAACACAUGCAAGUCGAGGGGCAGCGGAGAGGUAGCAAUACCUUUGCCGGCGACCGGCGCACGGGUGAGUAACACGUAUGCAAUCCACCUGUAACAGGGGGAGUAACCCGGAGAAAUCCGGACUAAUACCCCACUAAUAUGGGCGCUCCGCAUGGAGAGCCCAUUAAAGAGAGCAAUUUUGGUUACAGACGAGCAUGCGCUCCA
rnacentral:rRNA from 1 species